rnacentral:lncRNA from 1 species
ACUAUGAACUUAAUUGGUUUGUUUAAUCUGAAUCAAUCCUCUGAAACGGAGUAGAAGUAUUCAAAUCAGAUAAAAUUUUGAUAAAAAAAAUUUUAAACUAUCUACUGCAAGAUUAAUAUCUCUGAUAAAAAGUGUUAGUGUUAUAUUACCAUUUUUUAUAAGAUUUUUAUUUUCAGCCGCUGAUUUUGAACCCUUUCGAUUACUAAGUAAAUGAUUUCCAAAAAUGGCAAAAAUUAUUUUCUAGAUACUUCAAAUACGCUAGAUUAAAUCUAACGGAGUCGAUCGUCGAUUCAGAAGCUCCAUCAUUAAAAAUGGCUUAGGAGCACGGAAGCCUCAGUACUCCUAAUUAAUAGCACAGAAGACCUUCUCUCUCUUUGUCUCUCUCUCUCUAUAUAUAUAUAUAUAUAAAA